CAGUUUACUGCUCAACUGCCAGAUGCUGAACCAUUCCCUUGCCUAAAACAGUGAUAUCAAGUUUGCCCAACUCUCAGAAGCCCAGGUGCCUUAUAAGGUAUUAUAUUCUUUCACAGGUAGAUCAAGCCAUAAUAUGUUCGUGGCAGAAGGGAAGGAACACUAGACACUGCUUUCCACACUUUCAGGAUACAUUAUUAAAUUCUCAAAACAACUUAGGAAAGCCUUCUUUAUUCAAUAGCUAGGAAAUGCACCUCCCUUUCCCGUCCAGUUCCUUCAUUUUUUUAUUGGAAAUUUGCACAUUUACAAAAUCUCUCUUGGUCCUUAUUUUUAUCCAGUUCCUUCAUUUUAUCACAAAGGUAACUGGGGAAGAAGGUGCUGAGGAAACCCAGAAUUCUUUUGCUGUGCAGAGAACCAACAUGGAAAAGCCCAUCCUACUCAGGAAGUACCUUGCCUCCCCUCAAAUGCUGGGAAGUAGAAAUGAGUGGAAAACUUUGAAAAGGAUUUAA
rnacentral:lncRNA from 1 species